GAUCCUGGCUCAGGACGAACGCUGGCGGCGUGCUUCAUACAUGCAAGUCGAACGAGAAUCUGACUUCGGUCAGAGGAAAGUGGCGGACGGGUGAGUAACACGUAGGAAAUCUGCCUUUGGAGGGGGACAACAGUUGGAAACGACUGCUAAUACCCCAUAUGAGCUAAGUUGAAAUACUUAUCUUGAAAACUCCGGUGCCAAAGGAUGAGCCUGCGCCUGAUUAGCUUGUUGGUGGUGUAAUGGACUACCAAGGCGACGAUCAGUAGCUGGUUUGAGAGGAUGAUCAGCCACAAUGGGACUGAGACACGGCCCAUACUCCUACGGGAGGCAGCAGUAGGGAAUUUUGCGCAAUGGGGGAAACCCUGACGCAGCAACGCCGCGUGAACGAUGAAGCCCUUCGGGGUGUAAAGUUCUGUCAGUGGGGACGAAUUUUGACGGUACCCACAAAGGAAGCACCGGCUAACUCCGUGCCAGCAGCCGCGGUAAUACGGAGGGUGCAAGCGUUGUCCGGAAUCAUUGGGCGUAAAGAGUUCGUAGGCGGCAUAUCAAGUCUGGUGUUAAAGGCAGAAGCUCAACUUCUGUAAGGCACUGGAUACUGGUAAGCUAGAAUGUGGUAGAGGUAAAGGGAAUUCCUGGUGUAGCGGUGAAAUGCGUAGAUAUCAGGAGGAACACCGGUGGCGUAAGCGCUUUACUGGGCCAUAAUUGACGCUGAGGAACGAAAGCCGGGGGAGCAAAUGGGAUUAGAUACCCCAGUAG
rnacentral:rRNA from 1 species